CACGCAGGCGGUUUGGUAAGUCAGGGGUGAAAGGCCACAGCUUAACUGUGGUAUUGCCUUUGAUACUGCCUUUCUUGAGUACAGUAGGGGGAAGCGGAAUUCCGAGUGUAGAGGUGAAAUUCGUAGAUAUUCGGAGGAACACCGGUGGCGAAGGCGGCUUCCUGGACUGUAACUGACGCUCAUGUGCGAAAGCGUGGGGAGCAAACAGGAUUAGAUACCCUGGUAGUCCACGCCCUAAACGAUGGGCACUAGGUGUGGGAGGUAUCGACCCCUUCCGUGCCGCAGCUAACGCAUUAAGUGCCCCGCCUGGGGAGUACGGCCGCAAGGUUGAA
rnacentral:rRNA from 1 species